AGAAUGCGUUAUUUUCACUUUCACUUAUGAUUUAGUUCAAAUCGCGUGAGUGCAGGUCGUUCAUCAAACCGGAUAAUCACAAGUAUUAGCGGUCAGAGUGGCAGAAUGUAAUACUUUUAUUCUAAACACUUGAUUUAUUUCGAACAUAUUGCAGUUUGGUUUAAUUGCUAAUAGUGAAAGGAUCGAUUUCCCCCCUCGCGUCGCGUUCGUCCUUCCGCAGCCGGCUUGACUUAGCUGAUUUUUGUCUGCAGAAUGUCUGCUCACAUAUAGACUUCUUUUUUUGUCAAGUUCUCUCAAAAACAGUUCUGCUGUUUAAGAUGCUAUCUAACUGGUCAGACCUCAUUAACGCUUAAAAGAAGCAAGGCGCUGCUUUUAACGAAAAAACAAACAGCCUAUUGUUUGUUCACGUUAAAAGAUUUUCAAAGGUUUCAGUUCUGGGAUGGAGUUUACAGAUGAGGAGAAAAUAUGGCUGCUAAGAGUGUCUGCUGAAAUACCUGAGGGGAAUGAUCUCACUCCAAAGGAGAAGCAAUUCUGUGAGAAAGCAAAACCAGAGACUGAAUUUCAGGCCCAGUUAUUCCAGGCUAUGGCCUCUAUACGAUUUGGACUGAAUGAUCCAACAAGCUCAACCAUAGAAUUGAAAAACACUGUCCACCAGAGAAGCAGUGUCUCGUCACAAUGUGGAUAAUCACCAGAAUUAAAUAUUCAAAAAUGAAAUCAUCUGCACAUCAUGGUGAAGUCCAGGAACUUUGGAAUUGGAAGGCUAACAAUACAGUUUUUUUUUUUUGUUUUUUUUGUAUCACAGCAGAAUAUGCUUACCUCAUUAAUGAUCAAUUGGUGGGUUUUGUCAUAUAGCCUACCGUACCUACUGUUUUGUCAUAUCAUCAUAUAGCCUCAUAUAGCCUUUGGGAUUGUUCAUAUAGCUUACCAUCCGAGAAUGUGAACAUUGUUUUACUUACCUCAUUGUAAAAGCUUAUUGGAUGUUUUUCCAGUUAAGCACAACAGGAUGUUUUCCCGCAAAGGUUCUCUUGUUUUGUUUUUGUUUUAUUACAUCAUGAGAAACCAAGUUUAAGAAACCAAAUUUUAUAAAAUGUAAAUGGUGCUUUUUUUAAUGUAGCCUACACGCUAAAGCUUCUGACAUGCUGUUCUUUUUAAAGUAUAGUUCAGAAACUCAGUAUGUUUUGCUUUUAAUGCUUGAAGGGAUGAUAACAUCUCUACCUCAUUCUAAUCUAAAUAGUAAAUACAACAACAAACAGUACAAUACAGUAUACUCCUAUUUCCAUGUAGCCUACACACAUGUCAUUACAGUAGGCGAAGGCCUAUACUGUUCAAAUAUGAUUUUUACCCAUGGUACAACACAAAACUUAUGAAAUGUAAUUUCCAAAAUGUCUGUGCAUUCUAGUUCCAUUUUUACCUAACCUUUCAAAAUGAUUUUAAAGUUGUUGUUUUUUUUAAUGAUUAAAUAAA